UCUGAACAUCUACGCUCCAAAUGCAAGGGCACCCACAUUUAUAAAAGAAACUUUACUGAAGAAUACUGGCUGCACUUAUUAAAGGAUGUAUUUACUUGCUUCUAAAGUGAUGAAAGUCCAUCACCAUUGGGGGAGUAAUGGUGUUGCAUGAAGGCUUGGCAGUUGGUGCAGCCAGAGAUAUUAAGGAAUUGUAAUUGUUGCUUCCUGUUAUUUUUGUUGUUAGAGGUAGAAUUGUAUUUGUGUGGCUAUCUUCUUUUUAGUUUGUGGAAAGAUUACUUUCUUGCUUUUUUCUUUUUAGGGUGUAGUUUCCCUCCUUGUGUUAGAGUUUUCUGUCUUAUUAUCCUUUUAGGUUUGGUCUUCUCAUUGUGUCCUAGAUUUCCUGGAUGUUUGGGGUUAGAAGCUUUUUGCAUUUUGCAUUUUCUUUGACUGUUGUGUCAAUGUUUUAUAUGGUAUCUUCUGCACCUGAGAUUCUCUCUUCUAUCUCUUGUGUUCUGUUGGUGAUGCUUGCAUCUAUGACUCCUGAUCUAUUUCCUAGGUUUUCUAUCUCCAGGGUUGUCUCCCUUUGUGAUUUCUUUAUUGUUUCUAUUUCCAUUUUUAGAUCCUGGGUGGUUUUGUUCAAUUCCUUCACCUGCUUGGUUGUUUUCCUGUAAUUCUUUAAGGGAUUUUUGUGUUACCUCUUUAAGGGCUUCUGCCUGUUUACUUGUGUUCUUCUGUAUUUCUUUAAGGGAGAUAUUUAUGCCCUUCUUAAAGUCCUCUAUCAUCAUCAUGAGAUGUGAUUUUAAAUCAGUCUUACUUUUCUGGUGUGUUGGGAUAUCCAGGGCUCUUUGUGGUGGGAAAACUGGGUUCUGAUGAUGUCAAGUAGUCUUGGUUUCUGUUGCUUAUGUUUUUGCCCUUGCCUCUCUCCAUCUGGUUAUCUCUGGUGUUAGCUGGUCUUGCUGUCUCUUGACUGUAGCUUGUCCCUUCUGCAAGCCUGUGUGUCAGUUCUCCUGGGAGACCAGUUCUCUCUUGGAGUAAUUUGGGUAUGUAGAACUGUGGUCCAGGGUCAUCUCCAGGGUUGAGACAGAAACCAGAAGGAUCCUGUCCCUGGCUGUUCCUUGGCUCCUGUGUCCUGAUGGCUCUGGGUGGGUCCCUCUUGGGGAAGGAAUUUGAGCAGAAGUAGUGGUCUUACUCACAGGUAUGUCAGCACUCCUGGGAGACCAGCUCUCUCACAGUAGUAUUUGAGUAUGCACAGGGUCAGCUCCAGGCUCAGAAGGAAACCAGAGGGAUCCUGUCCCAGGCUGCUCCUAGGUUUCUGUGUCCUGAGGGCUCUGGGCCCUAUACAGAUUUUUUUUAAAAGCAGAAAACAAAAGUCAAAGCAAGAUAUUUGUAAAAAAGUGAUGGAGCUCAAAACUUAAGUAGCAAAAGGACAAAUAACAUGUUUGCUCUGUUGCUCACAUCCAAGAUUUUAAUUUUCUGUUCUACUUGAUAUAUAUGUAUAGUUGUGGAUAUAGGCCAUGAAACUAGAAAGGAGACUUUGGGAGAAGAAGGAAAGACAGAGGAGAAAACAUAUAUCAAAAUAGAAGGGGAGUGUGGUUGUGGUUUGAAUAUGCUUGGCCCAUGGGAAGUGGCACUAUUAGGAGGUGUGGCCUUGUUAAAGUAGGUGUUGCUUUGUUGGAGGAAGUGGGUCACUGUGUAGGCAGGCUUUGAGGUCUCCUAUUGUUGAAGCUUGGCCCAAGACCCAGAAGAGAGUCUCUCCUGGCUGCCUGCAAGAAGCCAUCCUCCUCCUGGCUGCCUUUGGAUGAAGAUGUAGAACUCUCAACUCAUCCUCCAGCACCAUGUCUGACAGGAUGUUGCCAUGCUUCCCACCCUGAUGAUAAUAGACUGAAUCUCUGAACCUGUAAGCCAGCUCCAAUUAAAUGUUGUCCUUUAUAAUAGUUGCCUUGGUUACAGUGCCUCUUCACAGCAAUGAAAUACUAAGCUAUCAUCAACACGAGGAAGAUAACUAGUGGAUCAGGGCUGCAUGAUGAGUAGGAAAAAAAGAGAAAGAAUAUGAUGUAAUGGUAACUUUGCAUAUGAAAUAAUAACAAAAUAAGACAGUUGUGGAUAUACUCAAUUGGUAGAGUAUUUGCUAGCAUAAGUGGAGCAUUGGGUUCAGUAACCAGAAUCUCAUAAAAUGGGAAUGGUAGCACAUGCCUAUAAUCCAAGCACUUGGUAGGUGGAGGUAGAAGAAUCACAAAAUCAAAAUCAUCCUCUUCAACACAGCAAGUUCAAGGACAUUUAUAUAUUAUAUAUUAUAUAUGUAUAUAAUAUAUAAUAUGAAACUGUGCCUCAGACUUAAAUUUAAUGGGGUUGGAGAGAUAACCUUAGUACUUAAGAGUACUCCAUGGUCUUGUAGAGGACCCAGUUUAGGUUCCCAGAACCUAUUUAGUUGCUCACAAACUCUUAUAACUCCAGUUCCAAGGGAAGUGGCACUCCCUUCUGAAUUCUGCAGGCACCAGGCACAUACAUGGUAUACAAAUGUACAUGCAGGCAAAACAUUAACAUAUUUUGUAUGUUUGUUUAAACAUUUUUCUGAGAGUUCUACAUAUGGAUAAACAAGCAUCAGGAAGACAGAUCGAAACUGGAACUGGAUUGGACUUCUGAAUCCUCAAAGUUCACACCCCAGUGACACACCUCCUCCAACAAUGCUACAACUUCUAAUCAUUCUCAAGAAAUAUAACUCUUGACUAUGCAUUCAAAUAUAUGACCUUAUGGGGGAUUCUUAUUCAAACCACUAUAGGAGUUCAUGAGAAAUAAGCAAUAAAUUGAAUCUUGGCUACAGCUAAGCUCACACUUACUUUUUAUGAACACGGAUAAUUCCAUGGCCAUUUAUUGAUCUUUAGUUCAUGGCUGGAUUCCACAUAAUUGGCACAUGGAUUAACCAUAAAUUAGGUUCCUGGAAUGUGAAAUAAGAGAUAUCAUAAUGCAGGUUGUUAAACGGAAACCUUGAAAGAGCUCCACUCUCUGCUGCUGUCAAGAGAGUAAAAGAUUAUAAAUGAGCUGGGUGGCAAUAUUAUCACAUAUUUGUUUAAUCUCUAGUCUCUGUUCUACAUAAAUCAUGUAGGCCUUGGUGAGUGUAUUAGAAUAGUGCAUACCUAAAUUAUGAAUAGACCAGCUAGCACCUUCUGAGGCAAAUAUGUUUGCCAUCUUGUACUGCUAUAAUGGAAUACCUCAGGCUGGGUAAUUUGUUAAGAAAAGAAACACAUUGGCUCACAGUUCUAGAAAUUGAGAAGUCCAAUAUAAAGGUGAGAGUAUUCUUGCUAAAUCCUGGUAGAAGAUCAUCUCCAUGGUGGAUAAAAUGUGAGAAACAUUGAAUUGUUACAUAGAAAACAAUCACACCUGAAACAUCAGCCAUUUUCUGCGGUGAAGGGAAACAGUGCUGUGUGCACUAAUGUGUUAGCUACUAUGAGUAAAAGUUAAAGGAGAAAAUCAGCACAAGACUAGUAACUGUUAUUGGGAUCAUGGUGAGAGCAGUAUUAAUAGAAGUCUUGUAGAGCUCAGAUGGCUUGGCUAAAGGUAGAAUGAUAAGAGACAUAAGGAAACACAAUGGGAUCACUCAGAAUAGUCUCAACUCACAGGAGCCAAAACCACUGGGCCCCUGCAAACCAAGCUAGCCUAUGUUCUUUGGGGAAGGAAGAUGAUAAAAGGGAAGGAUGGAGGAAAAGAAAAGGAAAGAGAUACAGUAUUAAAUACUGAAUGGUUAUUAAAUAAGGGAGAAAUUGGGACAUGAAUAAAAGAGGAAUGAAUGGCCAACAAGUGACUAGCCCAACUUGGGAUCCAUCUCAUGGACAGGCACCAAACCCUGACAAUAUAUACUGAUGCCAUGUUGUGCUUGAAGACAGGAGCCAAGCAUGGCUGUCCUCUGAGAGUCUCUACCAGCAGUUGACUGAGACAGAUACUGAUAUUUACACCCAACUAUUGGAUUGAAGUCAGGGGACCCCUAUGGAAGAAUUAGGGGAAGGACUGAAGGAGCUCAAAAGAAUAGUAAACCCAUAGGAAGAACAACUGUAUCAACUAACCUGGACUACUGGGAGCUCACAGACACUGUGUCACCAACCAGGGAGCAUACACGGGCUGGUCCAUGGCCCCUAGCACAUACAUAGAAGAGAACUAAUGUGUCUGGUCUCAAUCUAGUAGAGACUUGAUGCCCCAGGGAAGGGGGAUGCUGUAGGGGGGCACACUCUCAGAGGCAAAGGGGAAAGAGAGGUGGGAAAACUCUGUGAGAGUUAAUGGGAGGGGGAAACAUUUGGGCUGUAAAUAAAUAAUUAAUUCAUAAUAAUUUUAAAAGAGGAACAAAUGUUAAAGGGAGAGAACUGUGGCCUAGUCUGUUUGAUAUUCUCUAUUUUGAGUUUCUAGGCGUUUGUUCCCUGGCUCACUAAAACCUUUGGGUCUUCCUUUGCAAGGUCAGGUAAGAGACGCUGAUCAUACCUCCAGGGGAGAGUCGUCCUUCAUUGUGCCUUAAGGAAAAUGUUGCAAGUACUGUUCUUGCCUCUGGGAUUUCCUUUGGGAGACUGGGUAUAGAUGCUGGUCAGGGGAACAGACAUCACAACUUGACUCUCAAAUGCUAUUUACAUCUCUGCAUUCUUUUUGUGGCAUUAGAUUGUGAAUGUUGGCCAUGCCUCUGUGUACUCCUUCCUGAAGUUUGUUGCAUUUCUUGCAACCUGGCUUUGACCAGGUUGUAGUUCCUGAAAACCAUGCACUUGUGUUUCAACUCUCCUCACCCCACAUGAUCUAGUUCUACUGACUAAAUUUCAGCAUAUAACUAUCAUUUUUCCAGGUCUUCAGAUCACAGAGAGUCAUGGGUGGAGAACACACACAAAAAAGUUCUUUUACAAAUGGUGUUCUCAGUCUGUUGUAGUCAGGUUGUUGGUCACUAGAAGAGAGGGUUUACUUGGCGUCUCCUAAGGCUGAGGCCGUGGGCUUUCUGUCCAGUUUUCUUUUCCUGCUCCUUUCAUUGAGGAGCUACAAGGAUGGCUCAGCAGUUAAGAACACAUACUGUUCUUGCAUAAGUCUCAAAUUUAGUUCCUAGCACCAACUUCAGAUAGUUCCCAACAUCAUCUAACUCGAGCUCCAAGGUAUCCACCACCCUCUUCUUCUAGUCUCUGUGGGCAACUGCACUCAUGUACACACACACACACACACACACACACACACACACACACACACAAAUUGAUCUAUUUAUGUAUUUAUUUAUAUUUUUCAAAUAAUAUAAAACAAAAACAAAUGUAUUACAAUUUUAAAAGGCAAACAAACAAAAGAAAAAGAGCCCAAGGCAAGGCACAAGAGUCAGGGUCUCCAUAAAAACACUAAAUUGGAAGCCAUAAACUAUACUCAGAGAACCCAGAGCAGACCCCUACAGGCCCUAUGCAUGUUGCUUUGGUCUCUGUGCAUUCUUAUGAGCUUUACUUGUAUUAAUGGGGCCUUGUUUUCUUGCAUAUACACAUUUUAAAGUGUCUACAUGUCCAUCAGUGAAAUUGCACUGCAAACAUUCUGAACCUAUCUGGCUUAAGCUGUCAUUCCCACUGUCUGCUUAGUUUGGUACUUCCCAAAGUAAGCCAAGCUCUCUGAGAAGGGUCAUAGACAUUCUCUCCUGCUUGCUAAACCUUCCUGUUUUAUUUUUCCAUAAAAUAUAGAGAUUUGAGGCUGGAACUCACCUCUUCUGAUAACUGUCAUCCAACUCUCCACAUUUUAUUCUGGGGAGAUUUUAACAAGAAUGUGCUUGCGUAUCUGAUCCAGCUAUAUUUAACACCGGGAGAAGAGAUGGUGAAGUAGAAAACAGUUAGUCAUACUAUAAUGCACAAAACAAAUUUCAAAAUAGAAGAUGGAGCUUUUGAGGAGUGUCCCAAUUAAAGAAUUAACUCAAGCAUUUCAAAUUCAACCUUGGCACCUGAGGUCCUGAAAGAGAAGUAGACUGUGGGGGCCUGAUCUGUGUGGCUAUAAUUUGGCAACUGCUCAUGAAGACAAAAGUGCUUGCCAAAAGAAGGGCCCCUGGAAGUGUGCACUAGAAUCAGAAGUUUUCUUGUGGAUUACCUAUCCAACAGCCCUUGGGUCAUCAUAGGUCUCCGCUAAAUCUCUCAGCUCCUCCCAAACCAAAGUCCUCAUCUUAACAUCUUGCAUGUUUCAUGGCCUACCGGCUCAGAAACACAUGUCAAGUCUCCAUCAAGUUACUGACUCAGAGCCAAGGAGAAGGGAUCACAGUCCUAUUUAUGCACAGACCCUCUAAGCCCAAUGCUAAUCUGAGGCAGUCAGCACUGCCUUCAAUCUCAUGCCAUUUUCUCACUCCAGGUUCCUUAUGCACUGGGUGAUUUCCAACAUGGGUGUCUUACCGACGAUGUCCCUGAACACAGAACCUGACGUCUACAUGCAAUCAUGGCCUCUCAGUUGCUUAUUAAAGCAGAUAUCUUAAAGUUUAUAAGGUCUCUCAAGAAGGGAGCAAGUCGUGGACCUCAUACUCUUUUUCUAACAACAUGAGGCUUAUAGGCAUUUAUGACUGAGUCCUUGGUGACUGUCCUAGAUUACUAUCCUGAGAACUAGGAAGAGUGAUUGAGUGGGAAAUAAACGAGGCUUUGCACAGUG